CGCAGGGCUGUUCUGCAGAGGCAUUGGUGGCUUUGACACUAGCAAAAGGCAUGGUUCAAUCGUGCCUUGCAAAUAUGAACGCGCCAGGCUUGGAAGAGAACACGCAAACGGCCCAC
rnacentral:SRP_RNA from 1 species